UCCCCGUGGCAAUGAGCAAAGAGACACCUUGUUGGUGGUGUUAUUCUUACGUCUGGCAAGGGCAGCACAAAUGACUGUCCUUUGUUCAUCCUAACUUGAUGUCUGGCUUGGUGGCCACAGCAGUCUUAUGCCUAGGAUUCAUAA
ensembl:snoRNA LOC120102032 small nucleolar RNA SNORA48